CAUUUCAGAAGUGACGUCACGUCACGUGAUUUCGCGGAGUGGAGGACAAGCAUCAAAACAAGUCGUAUGUAUCCGAGGACCAAGUUGAAGGAGAACCGUCGUCUAUUUACGAUAAAACCAACCCAGACUGGGCACCAAAUCAAAAUCUUGGGUAUGAUUUCUGUGGGGUUUCAGCGUCGAGUCAAGAACGAUACGAACGAGCUCAGGAGAGAAGAGAAAAGCGAAGAAGGGGUGAAUGUGCCAGUGCCUUACAUGAACUGUCUCAUCAGUCAACGGAUGAUAUGUUGGUUAAGGCUGACGCUUCACCCAGUGUUCAGA